rnacentral:tRNA from 1 species
GGAGUGGUAGUUCAGUUGGUUCGAACACCCCCCUGUCAAGGCUGGGGUCGCGGGUUCGAGUCCCGUCCACUCCGCCA